UACGGGAGGGGCGAGCGUUAUUCGUCAUUAUUGGGCGUAAAGGGUACGCAGACGGUUUAUAGCAGUUUAUUUAAAAAGGCCAGGGUUUAACUCCGGUAACAAAUUUAAACGUGUGAACUAGAGUUAUUAAGAGGAUAACGGUACUUUUAAAGGAGAGAUGAAAAACGUUGAUAUUAAAAAGACCACCAAAGGCAAAGGCAGUUAUCCAUUAAUAAACUGACGUUGAGGUACGAAGGCAUGGGUAUCAAACCGG
rnacentral:rRNA from 1 species